rnacentral:rRNA from 1 species
UGCUAUCGGGCUUGCAAAAGACAUGCAAGUCGUACGUCUGUCGAUUCGUCGGCAGGCGUGGCGAAAGGCUCAGUAACACGUCGUCAAUCUGCCCUGCGGAGGGGGAUAACCUCGGGAAACUGAGACUAAUCCCCCAUAGGUAUGGACACCUGGAAUGGGCCAAUACCGAAAGGAGUCUAUGACUCCACCGCAGGAUGAGGCAGCGGCCGAUUAGCUAGUAAGUGAUGUAACGGAUCACUUAGGCAAUGAUCGGUAGGGGCUAUGAGAGUAGGCGCCCCGAGAGGGAUACUGAGACACUGAUCCCAGCGCUACGGCGUGCAGCAGUCGGGAAUCGUGUCCAAUGCGCGAAAGCGUGAGACCGCGAGCCCGAGUGCUAGGGAAACCCCUAGCUGUGAUGGAGUGUGCAAAGCUCCAACAGCAAGCAGAGGGCAAGGCUGGUGCCAGCCGCCGCGGUAAAACCAGCUCUGCGAGUGCCUAGGACGAUUAUUGGGCUUAAAGCAUCCGUACCGGUCCGGUAGGUCUUGAUCAAAUCUGCAAGCUCAACUUGUAGGCUGUCAAGGAUACCGCCGGGACUAGGGAAUAGGAGAGGGCGACGGUACUGCGGGGGAAGCGGUGAAAUGCGUUGAUCCCCGCAGGACCCACAGUGGCGAAGGCGGUCGCCUAGAAUAUCUCCGACGGUGAUGGAUGAAAGCCAGGGGAGCGAAAGGGAUUAGAGACCCCUGUAGUCCUGGCUGUAAACGAUGAGGACUAGGUGUUGGUCAUGGCCAAGGGCCUGGUCAGUGCCGAAGGGAAACUAUUAAGUCCUCCGCCUGGGGAGUACGGUCGCAAGGCUGAAACUUAAAUGAAUUGACGGGAAAGCGCCACAAGGGAUGGAAUGUGUGGCUUAAUUCGACUCAACGCGAGGAAACUCACCUGGAGCGACUGACAAAUGUGAGUCAGGCUGAAGACCUUACUCGAAUAAGUCAGAGAGGUAGUGCAUGGCCGUCUCAAGCUCGUGCCGUGAGGUGUGCUCUUAAGUGAGUAAACGAGCGAGACCCGCGCCCCUAUUUGCUAAGAGCGAGCUACGGCUCGGCUGAGGACAAUAGGGGGAUCGCCACCGACUAAGGUGGAUGAAAGUGCGGGCCACGGCAGGUCAGUAUGCUCCGAAUCUCCAGGGCUGCACACGCAUUACAAUGGACGGGACAAUGAGAUGCGACCCCGAAAGGGGAAGCGGACCUCCAAACCCGUCCGUAGUAGGGAUCGAGGUCUGCAACCGACCUCGUGAACGCGGAACCCCUAGUAUCCGCGUGCCAACAUCGCGCGGAGAAUGCGUCCACGCUUUUUGUACACACCGCCCGUC